AUACGAAUGAAUUAUUACUAUUAAAGUCAAAAUGAAGUUGUAUACUUUACGUAAAAAUUAAAAUAAUUACAAUAUUUAAAAGAAUUACAAAUUAAAAAUAAUCAUAUUGUACAAAGUGUUUAUAAAUACUUGCAUUUAAAAUAAUCAUAAUUUAUUUUUGGAUUUGAUUUUAGUCACUUGCUACUUUAGAAAUAUUUGGAAGGAAAUUAACGAUAAACAAAACCUAUCAUACCCGUACUUGAAAAAGUAAAUUUAUGUCUGCGUAAUGCCCUUAAAAAUCGUGUCAUGAAAGUAAUAAUUAAAAGCUGGACAGGAGUCGCAACUUGGCGCUGGGAAGCGAACGACGAGAACUGUGGCAUAUGCCGUAUGCCCUUCGAUAGUUGCUGUCCAGACUGUAAGUUGCCUGGCGACGAUUGUCCGCUGGUGUGGGGCGCCUGCUCACACUGCUUCCAUAUCCAUUGCAUCGUUAAGUGGUUGCACUCACAACCUCAACAACAGUGUCCUAUGUGUAGACAGGAUUGGAAGUUCAAUAACAAGUAAAUAGGUUACGUAAGCAGUUUCGCGCUAUCAGCACAAUGUCACUCCAAGGUCUGCCACCCUUGCCGAAGAGUUUGAGCGGCUUCGCCGACGGGGAGCCUGAGGUGCAAGACACGUCCACUGUUAGCGACAACCCGCCUACUGACCUUGACUCUCAACUGACGUACUUGAAGAAGGAAAUGGCCAGCCUUCGGCAAUUAGACCUGUCGCUGCUAUCAGAACUGUGGACUCUCAGCGAAGCCAUGGCGUCGUGGAGGCGACAGCUGGAAAGAGGACCUCGCCUCCGGCCGGCACCGCCGCCUCCACCACCACCGCACUAUCUC
rnacentral:misc_RNA from 1 species